AAGCAGCUCUACCCUCAGCAUCCUGCCCAUAACAGGAGCUCCAUAAACACUUGUUGACUGACUGCUUGUACCGAGUGCUGAGCUGGAAACAGAGGUGAUGAACAGUCUUCUUCAGAUGGCUAUGUGAUCCACCAGACUAAUGAGACAGAAGAUAGUGUCUUUUGGAAGACAUUUGUUAAAGAACCCACCCCCCACCAUUUAAAAAAAAAAGGAAAAGAAAAAAGGAGAAUUAGAGGAGAGUCCUCCUCCUCCCUUCCUUUGCUGUCAUUAUUGGAAUGAUGCUGAACUUCAUGUGUAAGAAUAAACACAUGACAAUAGCCAGGAGAAGCAAGAGAAGGGGCAAGAAAUGAAGGGAUCAUUAAUAGGCAACAUAUUUUUUAGGACUAUUUAUAAUUGCAACUGUAUUGUGCAAUGUCUGGAAUUAAUCUCAAAGCAAAUAUUGUAUUUUA